rfam:Loxodonta africana unplaced genomic scaffold scaffold_15, whole genome shotgun sequence.
GCACUGGUGGUUUAGUGGUAGAAUUCUUGCCUUCCAUGUGGGAGACCCAGGUUCAAUUCCUUGGCCAACGCA